rnacentral:rRNA from 1 species
CCCUUAGAUGUUCUGGGCCGCACGCGCGCUACACUGACGCAUUCAACGAGUCUCCUUGGCCGAGAGGCCUGGGUAAUCUUUUGAACGUGCGUCGUGAUAGGGAUAGAUUAUUGCAAUUAUUAAUCUUGAACGAGGAAUUCCUAGUAAACGCAGAUCAUCAAUCUGCAUUGAUUACGUCCCUGCCCUUUGUACACACCGCCCGUCGCACCUACCGAUUGGAUGGUCCGGUGAGGCCUCGGGAUUGUGGCUGGUGCAUUCAUUUGUGUCGGUUGCGAGAACUUGUCCAAACCUUAUCAUCUAGAGGAAGGUGAAGUCGUANCA